GAUGUUAAAUGGCUUACUCAUAAGUUACUGAACCAGCUUAAAUGGGCUGGGGAGUGGAAGAGAAGCAGCUGUGGGACAGCCUUGUGGAUAACGCACAGAAAGAAGUGUUAGUGAAGACCUGGAGAGAUGGGAAAUCAUCUGUUGUUGUCAGCAAGUUCUUUGAGGAAAAGGGCCAUAUUUUCCUUUCUAUGGCUGCGGCCCCUAAUCAGAGCCUAAAUCAGAGUUAGUUGAGUAAGUAUUAGUAAA
rnacentral:lncRNA from 1 species